rnacentral:rRNA from 1 species
AGCUCCAAUAGCGUAUAUUAAGGUUGUUGCAGUUAAAAAGCUCGUAGUUGAAUUUCGGGAUUGAUGCAUCGGUCGUGCCUUAAGGGGUAUGAGCUGGUGUGGUCAAUUUCUUACCUUCUGGUGAAUUGUGAUGUCCUCCUUAAUUGGGUGUUUCAAUGAACUAGGACUUUUUACUUUGAAAAAAUUAGAGUGUUUAAAGCAGGCAUUAUUUGCUUGAAUACAUUAGCAUGGAAUAAUAAAAUAGGGCAAUCUAUUU